rnacentral:rRNA from 1 species
AUACGUAGGGGCCUGACGUUGUUCGGAAUCAUUGGGCGUAAAGGGCGCGCAGGCGGCCGUCCAAGUCCGGUGUUAAAUGGUCGGGCUCAACCCGAUCAUGCGCUGGAAACUGGGCGGCUGGAGUCCCGGAGGGGAUGCCGGAAUUCCAGGUGUAGGGGUGAAAUCUGUAGAUAUCUGGAAGAACACCGAUGGCGAAGGCAGGCAUCUGGCCGGAGACUGACGCUGAGGCGCGAAGGCGCGGGGAGCGAACAGGUUUAGAGACCCUGGUAGUCCGCGCAGUAAACGAUGCGCACCAGGUGUCGGGCGGCAGCGCCCGGUACCGGAGCAAACGCGAUGAGUGCGCCGCCUGGGGAGUAUGCCCGCAAGGGUGAAACUCAAAGGAAUUGACGGGG